rnacentral:rRNA from 1 species
UUGACCUCGAAUCAGGUAGGGAUACCCGCUGAAUUAAGCAUAUCA